rnacentral:lncRNA from 1 species
UAGUGAGAACCAGGCUCGUCUUGAGGCCCACCCUGUCACUCUCCCAUCCAAGGCCACACAGUAGGCUGAGGAUGGCAGACACUGCCCCACAGACACCUACAGGUACGUGUUUUUCCAGGAAGCUGCGGUUCUGGAACCUGGAGUUUGAGAGCCAGUCCUUCCUGUAUAGACAGGUACGGAGGAUGACGGCUGUGCUGGUGGCCGUGGGGCUGGGGGCUUUGGCACCUGCCCACGUGAAGACGAUUCUGGAGAGCCAAGAUCCCCUGGGCAAGCAUCAGACACGUGUAGCCCCAGCCCAUGGCUUAUUCCUCAAGUCAGUGCUGUAUGGGAACCUCGG